GUGGCUUUGGCAGCACAUAUACGAAAAUUAGAACAGGUUAGCAUGGCCCCUAUGCAAGGAUGACAUGCAAAUUUGUGAAGCAUUCCUUUUUAUU
rnacentral:snRNA from 1 species